rnacentral:rRNA from 1 species
UACGUAGGGUGCAAGCGUUAAUCGGAAUUACUGGGCGUAAAGCGUGCGCAGGCGGUUCUAUAAGACAGAUGUGAAAUCCCCGGGCUCAACCUGGGAACUGCAUUUGUGACUGUAGAGCUGGAGUACGGCAGAGGGGGAUGGAAUUCCACGUGUAGCGGUGAAAUGCGUAGAGAUGUGGAGGAACACCGAUGGCGAAGGCAGCCUUCUGGGCCAACACUGACGCUCAUGCACGAAAGCGUGGGGAGCAAACAGG